rnacentral:lncRNA from 1 species
UGAAAGUUGAAAUCCUAAACAACUAAAUUUGAAACUGAAAUCCUAAAAACGAAAUUUAAAAUUACAAUUCUAAAGUACGAAAUUUGAAAGUGCAAAUCCUAAAGUACUAAUUACUAAAACAUCAUAAAACUAAAUGCUACUUUAGGGCUUCUCCUUCUUGAUCACAACUCUCUUCCCUCUUUUAUUCAUGAGUUUUGGGUCAGUUGAUGUUUCUUCUUCGAGUUGUCUCUUUGUUGCCUCAUUGUCACUGAUGUUCACUGAUUCAUGUACAUUGGUAAAGCUGCUACUCCCACCAUCAUUUUGAACCUGAAAUAUUUCAUAUUUAUAAUAAUUGUUUUCAAUUUCAAAACCAAUCUAUAUAAUAUUUAUUUAAUCAAUACCUUAAUGUUUUCAAUUUCUUUGUCUUUCAAUUGAGUUUCCUUGGUCUCACUUUCAACUAUUGACCCACAAUAUUUAUUCAAAAUAUUUGGGUCGCAGUUGAUUUUUGUCACAACAUAUGCUCCAUCAAAAAUCGUUGAUUCUUCAACUUUAAUUUUAAAUAGAGCAUUUUUGUUGGUGAUAGCAUCUAUCUCAAUUGGCAACUCAUUGCUAUUAGGAUCCUGCAAAAUUUUUAAUUUAAAUUAAUAACUUUAGAAUUAUCUCCAUAAUUUUAUUUAUAAUUUUAUUUUGCAUUCACUUACAUAUAUUAUUUCUUCAGCAGGUUUCCCAAUUAGUUGUAAGCACUCCCUAUCCCAUAAGCUUAAAGAAACACCUCCAGAAUUAUCAGCAACAUAUACUCUUAGUCUAUACCUAUUUUUUUAUUAGAUAACAUGUUAGUAAGUCAUAAACAAUAGUAUUUUCCAAAUAUCUUAAAAUGGAUUUACCUCAUUUUUCCUGAAACAUCAAAGCUUGCACAGUUGUCACAAAAAAAUUUAUCAUCAUUUGCUUUCAGUUUUUUUAGGCAUAUGUUGCAUGCUAAGUAAGCCCAAGCUCGAAGCGUUGAUACAGAACAUAUUGUGCCAUAUAUCCAGUACAUUCCCCUCUUAAAAAACACGAAAAUAUAUUAUUUAAAUGUUUCGAAAAUUUAAUAUUAAAAAAUAUAAAAUUAUGUAAUAUUAAACCUAUUGACCAGUCAACUCUGAAAUAGCCAUGAAUUUUGCACUGCCUUCAUUUAUUUCAUCUUCAAUUGUUCUAAUUGUUGGUGCUGCCAAUAACUUGAGAUUGAUUGAUCUUUCCUUGUGAAGUUUGAUAAAACUGCAAUUGGAAAUAAUGUGAACAAUAAUGUAUGCCGAUGCAAUUAAUUUUUAUUUUUUAAAAUACUUACUUGUCCUUCAUCUUCUUGAUUUCAACAAUGUUUUCAUCAAAAAGUAUGUUUGACACAUGAUAUGAACUUGAUAUGCAAACUUCACCUGUUUCAUAAACCAAAAUGUAUUAGCACAAAUAGAUAAUAGAUAAUGAUAAUAAAUUUUUUUAUUUUUUCUACCUCUGAAUAUAGAUGGGCGACAGAAUUGUACUAUGAUACAUAUUGGCAUUUUUGGUUCUGUGCACAGAUAUUCAUGCAUUUUAUCUGCAUAUUGUUCCCAAAGUGUGCAUGUCAUAGUCUUUCCCCUGCAAUUAAAUACAAUUUAGGUUAGUCAUUCACAUAUAUUGAGGUAUUUUAUUUAUGCAAUUAACAUAAUUGAAAGUAUAAUAAAUAUUACUCCAAAUCUUCUAUGAUGAUAUCCAUAAGCUUUGUUUGCUGUCCAUUGAAAUCUUUGAUUAUUGGCUGAUAACUUGAAACUACGAUUCCCAUGAUAUCUACAAUAUAAAUUUGAAAUUAAAAUUCAUAAGAUGAUAAUAAUUAAAAUAAAAUGGCUGAAAAGUUUUUACCAAACAUGAC